rnacentral:lncRNA from 1 species
UUGUUGAGAAUGUGAAGGUGGUCGGAAGAGCAGAGUGAUGAUCGGAGUAGAGAGGUAGGAAAGGAGGAAGACGAUAAGAAUAAGAUAAACUCUAUAUAUUUGCUAUGAUCUCUGAGUUACAAUUAUAUACCCUUAUAUUGGGUUAUUUGUCUAUUAGCCCUUAUGGGGUUAAUUGCUUUAUUUCUCUUGUGUACUUGUUUUAUCUUCCUUAAGGGUUUAAGGGGUUAAUUGCUUUAUUUCCCCUGACACCCCCCUUCGACACCGGUGAGUCGCAGACGUUGCCGGUGUCGAUGAAAGAGUGACGCCGGUAGAGCUUUGGUGAAGAUGUCGGCACUUUGAUUUUCCGACCGAACGAAUUUGAGGCUGAUGUCUCCGCGGAUUAUGAACUCUCUGAUGAAGUGGUAGUCGAUUUCAAUGUGCCUCGUUUUAGCCUGAAUUACUGGGUUGGUUGCCAUGAAGAUCGCCGAUCUGCUGUCGGUGUGGAUAACUGGAACUCGUUUCAGAUACACUCCCAGCUCCCUUAGGAGCGAGCAGAACCAUUUGAGCUCGGCCGUGACAUGUGCGAUGGCUCUGUAUUCAGCCUCGGCGCUGGAUCGUGAUACCGUCGGCUGCUUUUUGGACAUCCAGGCCACCGGGUUUGGGCCGAGGAAGACACAAGAUCCGGUCGUUGAGCGUCUGUCAUCUGGGUCACCCGCCCAGUCCGAGUCGACCAUGAUGUUUAGGUCUGUGGAGGUUGAAGGUGUGUAGGUGAGCCCAAAACCAAUGGUACCUUUGAUGUAUCGGAGGAUGCGUUUGGCUGCCUGCCAAUGGGUUGUUGUUGGUAAUUGCAUGAAUUUGCACACUUGGUUGACUGAGAAUGCGAUGUCCGGGCGAGUGAGGCUGAGAUAUUGCAAAGCUCCAACCAGACUCCGAUAUGGGGUCGGAUCCUCGAUUGGUGUGCCUGAGUUGGCUGUUAGUUUGGAUCCUGGUAUCGAUGGCGUCGAGAUUGGUUUGGAAUUGUUCAUCUUGAAUUUCGCAAGCAGAUCCAGGGAGUACUUUCUCUGUGUGAUCUUCGUGGACGUUGCAGUCGAUUCCAUUUCAAUGCCUAGGAAGAAGGAUAGUUGUCCGAGAUCCCUGCAUUUGAAUUGUCUGCAGACCGAGUCGAUGAACGCUUUAACCUCUGUAUCGCAAUCGCCCGUGAUUACGAAGUCAUCUACGUAAAUUAGAACGUAGAUGACCCUUCCGUUGUUUCUUCUGAUGAACAAUGAUGAGUCAGAUGUGGAAUUGAGGAAGUGACAACUGUGAAGAAACUCUUUUAGUCGUUGGUACCAGGCUCUCGGUGCCUGUUUCAGGCCAUAGAUCGCUUUUUGUAGUUUGCAGACGUGAGAUUUGGCCGUUGUUUUCUUCAUUGUGAACCCUGGAGGUUGUUCCAUAAAGACUGUUUCGGUUAGAUGACCGUUAAGAAACGCAUUACAGACAUCAAGGUGAUGAAGUUUCCACCGUUGGGAUGUCGAAAUUGCCAGUAUCGUUCGUAUAGUGGCAGCCUUCACCACCGGGCUGUACGUGAGAUCAUAGUCCUCCCCGUAUUUCUGGUGAAAGCCCUUUGCUACGAGCCGAGCUUUGUACCUGUUGAGGGAUCCGUCAGAGUUUUGUUUAACCCGGAAAACCCAUCGGGAGCCAACUACAUUCAUUUCCGAUUGUCUGGGAACUAGCUUCCAGGUAUUGUUGAUGUUGAGUGCUUGGAUUUCAUCUGUCAUUGCGUCCAUCCAGAAGGGAGAUUUGAAUGCUUCUCUGACGGACGUCGGCUCGGACUGUUUACUGAUGGCUUGGUUGCAGUUUUUGGUCGCAGUCCGGCGGGGUAGGUCGGAGACGAUGGUGGUCAGUCGUUCGUCUGAUAUCGGGUGAGUGUCCGACCGAUUGGAUUUGAUGAGUCGGAUCUUGUUCAAAUUUUGGAAUUGUCUGACUGAUUCGGGUAAUUCGAGAAUUGGGGGACCCGGUUUUGAUUGGGCGGAUUCAUUCCUUGUUGAAUUGGGGGACCCGGUUUCUUUUGAACUGGUGAUCGUGGCCGACGAAUUUUGGCGCCCUGUUCGUUCACGAUCCUCUGUCUCAUAGUCCUUCAGCCAGUAGGGUGGUGUCUUUACUCUUUCAGAUUUCCUUGUGUUGCAGUCUUGAUUGAUCCUCGGCGUAUCCUUUAUGAUAGUUGUGUCGGGAUAUGCCGUUGUUUCGGUACACGGAUUGAGGUAGAUAGCUGAUCGGUCGUCCUCUGUUUCUUCUGAUGGACGAUCAGUCUGUGUCGUCUGUGUCGAUAAAGAUCCUGGAUGAUCUUCUGAUCGUAUCUGAUCAGCUUCCCGAAUCGUGUGUAGCCUUGUAGGAGGUGAAAUUAGUGCAGAUGGCAGUUGUCUGAAGUGUGACUCUGGCUGUACUUGGGUUUGGGUUUGCUGCUGGAACGGAAACGUGCAUUCAUCAAAGAGAACAUGCCGUGACACUGUUAUUUUCCCAGUAGAUAGGUCUUUGCACUUGUAUCCUCUGUGCGCAUUUGAAUAACCAAUGAAUACACAUCGAGUGGCCACACUCUGGAGCUUUGUUCUCUGAGAGUUGGGUGUGAUUGGAAAACAGAGACAUCCGAUGGUCCGUAGUAGUGAGUAGUCUGGGAUUCGCCCAAAUAGUACCUCGUACGGUGACUUAUUAUUUGUUGUGACUGAUGGAAGUCGAUUAAUGACGAAUGUCGCGCUCGAGUACGCGUCUGUCCAGAGCUCUAGUGGUAGUGAUGCCUGGUGUAGGAAGCAUCUGCCGACGUCGCCGAUGUGUCCAUGUUUCCGUUCGGCGACGCCAUUCUGCUGUGGCGUAUAAGGACAGGAAAAACGUUGUUGAAUACCGAGUUUUGAGAGAAUAUUUCGAAGAGUGUGGCCGACGAAUUCACCGCCGGCGUCACACUGAAUUUUUUGAAUUUUAAAGACAAAUGACCGUUCGACGAAAUUACAAAAGUUGAUGAAAUGGGAAGUGAAGUCGGAUUUUUUGGACUAAAGAGAUGAACCAGGUGAAUCUGGAGAAAUCAUCCACUAUGCACGCAUAGUACUUGAACACUUCUCUGGAAGUCACCGAAGCCGGCCCCCAAAGGUCGAUGUGAAUGAGUUCCAGUGGCUGUCUGGCUGUGUAGGUACGAUGAUGAAAGGCAGGUCUCUUUGCUUUAUUGAGAGCACAGACCUGGCAGAAAGGAAGAGUGGAUGGUCGACGGUCAAUCGAAGUUGGAGAGACGGAGUUUAGAACGCUAGAUAGGAUCGGUUGAGCCGGAUGACCCAACCGACGAUGCCAUACCACCGGCGUCAAUCUCGUACAGGCAGACGCUUGUUUUCCCUUGCAGAUGCCUGUCGUUGAAUUGUCGAGGUGGUAAAGGCCUUGGCCACUACUGCCACUCAUUAUAGUAGCUCCCGUCUCCUUGGCCUUGACGGUGAACCCAUUAGAAUCAAAGGAACAAACACAGUUUAGAUCAUUGGAAAGUGAUUGAAUUGAAAGUAGGUUUUUGUGGAGUCCUGGUACGUAUAGGACAUUGGGAAUUAAAAUUCGACCGAGGGAGGUCGUGAGAGAGACAGUCCCCUGCCUUAGUAUCGGCAGUUGGGAACCAUUUCAUUCCAACCAUGAUAGUAUCUUUACCUUGAUAAGGUUGGGAGGCGUUGAAGGAGUUCAGAGAUGGAGACAUGUGGUUCGACGCCCCACUGUCGAGACACCACGAGCUUUCAGAUGUUGCUGACGGAGCGCUGUUGUGGACGGACAUGGCACAGUUGUCGUCAUUGGUGAGGCGAGCGUUGUAUGCGUAGUUACGCCGGUUAUUGCAGAACUUCGCUGUGUGGCCCGCGCGAUUGCAUAUUUGGCACACCUGUUCACCGAUAGAGACUGGUGUUGGUAGUAGCGGCGGCGAGAAGUGUUCUGGAUGUCGAUAGUUGGGGGGAGGUGGGUGAUAUGUUGGUGCUCUGUAGUUUUGAUUAUUUGCUCCUCUGCCGAAGCGUCCCCCAUUAAAUCGUCCUCCUCGAUAUCGGCCUCCGCGUCCCCUGGGCCGGCCUCUGAAGUUGUUUUGGUUAUGAGAAUUGUUUCCUAUCGGUGGUUGAUUGGAGUUAUUUCCUUCUGUCGACGAAUGAUGUUGCGAUGAUUGCUGUUGCGCAGAGAAUGCGAUGGGGUUGACCGGCUGCUCUGUUCUUUUGAGCAGAUCCUCUUCUUGGAGAAGAUGACUAACCAAUUCGUCAAACGAUGUGGCUGGGCUGAAGUGAAGAUGCGUCAGGAAACUUCUGUAGUUUUCGUCGAGUCCGUCAACCACGAAGCCAAUGAUUUCUUCCUCAGCUAUCACGGAGCCGGCGGCACGAAUGGCAUCGGUGGUUGCUCUGACCUCCAUCAAGUACUCAGACAUGGAGACUUCAGGCUUCUUUUUGGUGGCUCGCAGCUUUGUUCGUAGUGCCUUGAUGUGGAUACUGCAUAGUGGCGAGAGGAACCGAUCCAGCAAGUGCCAUGCCUCCUUUGAGGUGGUGCAGUGUAGAAUCAUGGAUUGUACCGCCGGGGAGACAGUUGCUCUUAUCCACGUGAGUACGAGUUGAUCGGACUUCACCCAUUUUGAGUAUUGAGUGUUGACAUCCCCAGUAGUGGUUUCCAACUUCUGGUCCGGUUCAUUGAUUACGCCGGAGAGAUCAUGGAGUUUCAGAACUCCCAGGAAGUGCGACUUCCAACAGAUGUAGUCUGUCUUGUUCAUGGGGUUGCGGAAGAGUGAGUUUAUGUUGUAGGACGUUGGGAGGCGAUGGGGAUUGUUGAUGGUUCUGUUAAUGAGGGUGUUGUCAUCCUCUGGAUUUUCGAGAUUGGGUAGUGGUGGAGGGGAUUGGGUUGAAGUGUUGUUGGCCUGUUUUUGUAAGAAGGUUGCUUGUAUGUGUUCGGAGAGGGAACUCAGAGAUUGAGAGCGGUGUAGGGUCGAUGGCUCUGAUACCAUGUUGAGAAUGUGAAGGUGGUCGGAAGAGCAGAGUGAUGAUCGGAGUAGAGAGGUAGGAAAGGAGGAAGAUAGACGAUAAGAAUAAGAUAAACUCUAUAUAUUUGCUAUGAUCUCUGAGUUACAAUUAUAUACCCUUAUAUUGGGUUAUUUGUCUAUUAGCCCUUAUGGGGUUAAUUGCUUUAUUUCUCUUGUGUACUUGUUUUAUCUUCCUUAAGGGUUUAAGG